rnacentral:rRNA from 1 species
UCGCCCCCCGGCCAUUCCGGAGGGCAUGCCUGUUCGAGCGUCAUGGACAACCUCGAACCGGGGAACGGUUCGUCGUUGGGUGUCGCUGGCUGGCGCCGGCACGCCUCAAAGCCAACGGGCCGGCCCCCCCGGGACCUAAAACCCUUCCCACCCCUCGGAAACGCGUGCAAAGGAUCGCGGCCGGGGAGGGGAAAGGGGUUCCAAGGGGACGCCUUUUCCCCUCCGUUUUCGUUCCCCUCGAACGAUCGGCGCGUGUUGACCUCGGAUCAGGUAGGAAUACCCGCUGAACUUAAGCAUAUCAAUAAGCGGAGGA